CCAUCAGGGGAUGAGUCUGGGCGAAGGUCGGUGGUUCGUUCGAGCAAGAUCGCGUCGGGGUGGGCGCCGCGUGAGCUUCUCCUUGUCAGGGUGUGGAGGAGGGCAGAGUUGAUUUUCUCAAGAUUCUGAAGAGUGCCAACUCCGUUUUUCGCCAUGCAGUGUUGGGGAGCACCAUUCUUGCCCUGUUGUACCCACCUUCAUUUACAUGGUUCACAACCAGGGCUAUGAGUUGAUGACCACGCUGCUGUUUUGCCCUGCUUGAUAAUUCUUUUACUGUCCGGUCUACUCUGCAUAGUUUCCAGUUGAUUAUAAAAUGAUAAAACAGUGGUGAUGUGAGGUCCGAUAAUGGGCAACCGAGGAAGGCAUGUUGUCUGUUUUCUAGAAGGCCGUUUUGUUUGUUCCCAGCCCUAACUAUGGUUGUCCAGCUAGUUCGGCAUGUUAUUCAUCUUACUAUGGUAGUCCAACGAGUUUGGCAUGUUUUGAGUUUGGCAUGUUCAUGACGGGAGCAGGUGCCAGUUUGUGAUUGCU